rnacentral:misc_RNA from 1 species
GUAUUAUCAACAAGCUUCUUAAGCUCAAAUUAAGCAGUUAUACUUGAGAAAAAAUCAACGAAACUAAUGCUUUGAAUAGACUAUGGCAUGGCAUGGCGGCGCAACCAUAGCUCAUACAUAACCAUGUGAAACGCAUCAUAUUCCAUUGGAGAUGAAUUCCACUCAAAGAGCCUUUGUACCUUGACUGUGUUCUUCUGCAAUUCCAGGUAUUUUUCAUCAGAUAUGGCUUUAAGAAUUUCCUUCAGAUUAUAGACGUCCUCCUUCUUGACUAUUAUAGAGAAUUUCCUCCAGUUGAUAAUGUCAAUAAGUGGAAAGUCAUAGUACUCGGGCAUGAUGACAGGAACACAACCAGAGUUGAUAGACUCUGCUACACAAGCACUAUUCAUACCAGAACCUUGAUUACAGAUGCAAAACUUGGCUUUGUAGAAUUUCUUAACAUAUAAGAGUGUGGCUCUAGGCCCAUCUAGCUGGGUGCUCCAAAUCUCAAAUUCAGGAUCAUUCUUCCAAGCCUCUACGAAAGCAUGUCCUACUUUUGUGUCAGGCGAACCAACAUAUAAACCGAGUUUAGUCCUAUUCUUUGUGCCAAAUUCACCAGCUGGAAGAGCAAAUGGCUGCACUACCUGUGGGAGGGCAACAUCUUUGUGUGGAAUAUAUCUACUCCUAUAAUUUGAAGAACACAUAACUCGAAUUGAGUUUUUCUCAAGUUGAGGAAUUUGAGAAGAAGCAUUCAGUCCAAUGUCAUGACAAGCAACAAGAAAGUGAUCAGCACCAAGAGUUCUAUUCCAAUAAGGGUACUCAGAAAUUAGGUUCUUGAUAUACUUCUUGAUAGUCCUGUCCAUGUCCUGAUGUGAAAAUCCCUUUUGUGCCAUUAUUUGACAAGAAAUGGGAAUGAAGAACAGAUGAGCCUUCUCAGGAUCAUCAGUCCAAAAAAUGCUCUUUCUUAGAUUAUGAAAGAAGUAUCCCUCGCUUGGGUAUUUGCCCCUGAUCAAAUCCUUAAGUCCACCAAAAUACAUGCUCGAUACUUCAUCUGGGUACACGAAGACCUUGAAAUCCCUCUUCAUCGUAGCAUAAUUUGGGAAAAAGACAUUGGGUGAGUGAAGGACUUCAGAGAAUGGGAAACGAUUUUCAGUUGAAUUGCCCUCCAUAAACAGAGAAGAAACAAAGAAAAGAUUCUUGGCCAUUAUGAUAAAAAAGGAAAAGUAAAUCAGUAGAACUAUUGUCGCGAAAUAAUAGCAGGGAUUAUUUGUCGGUGGACAUUGACGUGGAUUAGAACGUCGGUGGUCC